GUAGCAGGAGACAAGAUGAGGGUAAUCACCGCAACACCUAGACUCAUUUAGAUCAAGUAAACUUACUGAGGCUCCAGAAGAAGGUCUUCAGGACUCCGACCUUAGUUAUAGAUUAAAAGAAGUUACUCACUUGUGUCUUUAGACGAAUGCACACUUACACAUAGACAUAUAGCUUAGAAGGUAUAUAAGCCCUGAAACACUUUCUAAUUUUGAGUUGGUCUGGCGAUAAUUUCCAGACCUUCUCCCUGUAACGGGUGACAGAAAUAAAAACUCUCUUUCUGCCCGGUUCAUCUGCAUCUCGUUACUAGGCCGCGAGAAAUAGCAGCCUGACUUUCGCUUGGUCCUGGAACAAAGUUUGGUACACCAGCCAGGAGGUAAGGAUGGUGCUGUUUUCAGCCGCUGGCAGCCUGUGAGGAGACAGUCUUCAGCAGGAUCUCCCAGCUGCCAGGUGAGGUUUCCCCACGGGACCCUCCAGAGGGCUGUUCCCUGGACAAAUCUGCAUGUCCCUUUCACUGCUGGGGAAGAAUGGAGAUCGGGAGCGGAUGCGCUCAAAGGAAUCUUCUCUGUAAUAACCACAAAGUGAGAAUUCUUAAGCAUAUUUCAUAGAAGUGAAGGACAGAGUGUGAAAAAAUUUCAGAAUAAGUGCAAUAUAGGUGGUGAUAACUGUGGUGGUGAUAACUGUGAAGGUAGAGAGCAUUCCUAUCUCUUCCUGAGACUCCAAAAAGAUGCUAGAGAGUGAUUCCAGCUUGCAAGGUGACUGUGGAACAGCUCUGAUGCAGCCUCAGGAAAUUACCCUUCUUGUGGGCUGCAACUACAUCCCCAACAAGAUCUGGCCCCGAUCCUGGUGAAGGUCUACUUUUCUCUGUUUGUCCUUCUAUGGGUGCUCUCCAUUACCCCAGGGAAAACCAAUCAUUAACAGCUUUCAUUUCAGAAAGCCAAGCAAUUUAUAUGGACUCACUCCCAUAAACACAAUUCUGAGUGUCAACCAAUUGAGAACAAUUUUGUUGGAGUAAUCACAUUUUGGCAGCGAAUGUCAACCUACUUAAACUUCUGAAAGGUCACCAAUCCCUGACUUUUAAGCUUCCAAAAAUUCUGGUAUAAAUCCAGCAGCUUGCUCUUUUUAGAGAGGCUAUACCUGACCAGCAUAUCUCUAUUCACUAUAGUAAGCAAUAAGCACAACAUGUUUUUUCUUUCAAAUAUUGAGUGGUGAUUUCUUCAUAAUUUGACAGUAUCAUUUAUCCCAUGGAAGAACAAGUAGUUAUAUAUCUUAUUCUGGAAUUCCUUUUGAGCAUUAGAGCAAUCUUCCCCAAAAACUGCGAACUUAAAAAAAAUAAUAAUAUUCUCUAUUCAACAGUAGGUGGAAAAUCAAACUCAGAAACAUUUUAGCAGAAUUUAUUUUGCUGGGUUUUUUUCCUCCUAAACUUAGCAUUGUUAUCUGGAUACAAUCAAGAUACUUUAUUUCACAGCCAACGUCAUGUAACAACUUUUUGUAACAUUACUCAGCUCGUAGCUUUUCUCUUUCGGAAAAAGUGUUUGGAAAGCAGAAUUAAAAACGAACUUGAGGGCCAGGCGCAGUGGCUCACGCCUGUAAUCCCAACAUUUUGGGAGUCUGAGGCGGGUGGAUCACGAGGUCAGGAGACCGAGACCAUCCUGGCUAAUACAGUGAGACCCCGUCUCUACUAAAAAUACAAAAAAUUAGCCAUGCAUGGUGGCACGUGCCAAGUCCCAGCUACCGGGGAGGCUGAGGCAGGAGAAUCGCUUGAACCUGGGAGGCAGAGGUUGCAGUGAGCCGAGAUUGUGCCACUGCACUCCAGCCUGAGCAACAGAGUGAGACUCCAUCUCAAAAAAUAAAAAAAUAAAAUAAAAAUUAAAAGUCAACAUUUAAAAGACUUGGAUUUUUCUUAGUUUUUUUUUUUUUUUUUUUUUUUUUGGCUUAAUAUAAGUCUUCCUCUCUCUCUCUCUUUUUCUUUCUUUUUUUUUGAGAGGCAGCCUUGGUCUGUCGCCCAGGCUGGAGUGCAGUGGCACCAUCUCGGCUCACUGCAACCUCUGCCUUCUGGGUUUCAGAGAUUCUAGGGCCUCAACCUCCCAAGUAGCUGGGAUUACAAGUGUGCGCCACCAUGCCCAACUAAUUUUUGUAUUUUUAGUAGAGAUGGGUUUCACCAUGUUGGCCAGCCUGGUCUCAAACUCCCAACUUCAAGAGAUCUGCCGGCCUUGGCCUCCGAAAGUGCUAGGAUUACAAGCGUAAGCCACCAGGCCCAGCCUACAUUUUCUUUUAUCUGUGUGUAAAUAUGUUGAUGGUAUAGUGUGCAUAAGGGAAAAUAAGCUUAUUAAAAACUCAAGCUUCAGGGAUAACUGGCUAGGCCUUACUUUUAAAGAAAUAGUUGCACCUUUAACAUUUUCUGCUAUGAUAGAAAAAUAUUAUCCAAUUAAAAUGUAAGCAACCUAAACAUCAUUGAUUACUCUAAAAGAAUUAUAGAAUAGUAAUAUCUUGCCAAUAUCGAUAUUUGUGGUGCUACUCUGUUCUCAUUGCAUUAGCUAUUAGACAAUGUCUUAUAGAGUUCAUGGCCAUUUUCUGCUUAUGAAUGAGAAUAAAUACUUGUGAAAACAUAACGUGUAAGACAUCAGGUAUACAUAUAUUAAAAUAUGUCAGUUGGCGAAAAGUAAUAAUUGUCUUACCAAGGAAAAUUGCCUUUAGAUUUGACUGUGUUCAGCUCUGGUACAAAACAUAACAAACAUUAUGUUUCUACCUUAAUUAAAAAGUAAAUGUGGUUAUUUUAAAAACUGUUUAAAAUUAAAGCCUAUUUUAUAAGAUGUUAUAUGAGACACUGCAUUAUUCCUUAUCAAAUUUAUAAGGCUGUAU
rnacentral:lncRNA from 10 species